rnacentral:tRNA from 1 species
GCCGCCGGUGGCACGUGCGGGAGCGGGCGCUGCCGUUGGAGAGCGGGGGCGAACUGCCCGGUGUGCGGCUCGCGUUCGAGACCUGGGGGCGGCUC